AUGAUCGCCAGACUCUUUUGUGCUUCCGUUCGUUCACGAUCGCCCAAGAUGCACCGCGGACGUACCUUCGUUUGUUUAUUGGAGUGGCGCACUGGCCCAGAGCCAAACAACAAUUCCAACCAGGGCGCCACCAGCACUGUUUAUCCGGUCCUGGGAAAAUGUCGGAGGAAAAGAGGUAAACGAGCAGGAAUCCAGGUGAGAAUAAGACUUCUCUUAAAGCGUGGUUUAUCUGGUAAACAUCGGCGCGAUCUUCUAGCUUCUUGUCCUUUGUUUGGUGACCUGAGCGCCACUUCCUCAUUCCCGCCAGGCCGCGUUGUGACGCGGUUUCUCCAUCCAAGUUUUUUAAGGUCGGUUUAUCCUCAUUCCUCAGUGGUUUCUCCUCCUGUUCCCUCCAUAAGUGGUUUUUAUAAACACCGUGGAUCUAACCCUGCUAAUUUACCUCCACUAACUCCAGCUGUUUCGGUAGUUUCUGAUUCCUCCACCUCACUCAGCAUGGCUCUAUUAAAUACCCGCUUUGUUAACAAUAAGACCUUCCUGCUCAAUGAUCUAAUUCUCUCUAAAAACCUGGAUUUUCUGUUUCUGACUGAAGUUUGGCAGCAAACAUCUGAUUAUUCUGGUCUGAUUGAACUCUGCCCGAGUGGUUAUUCUUUUCUUAGCCAGCCCCGGGGUUCUGGUCGUGGUGGAGGCCUAGCUGUUGAUUUCAGAGACCAUCUUCCAUGUAGCUCUACAACCUCUGGUCACUUUGCUUCCUUUGAACUGCAGCUGAUUAAAGUCGGGCGUAAGGACCCGUUCUACUGUGCUGUGGUUUAUCGUCUACCUGGUCCAAACAGUUCUUUCCUUCAGGAGCUUAGUGACUUUCUAUCCUCCACUGUGAAGCUCUCCAGACUGGUGAUUGUUGGUGAUUUUAACAUCCACGUUGAUGAUCCCUCUGAUCACUUUGCCAUGAAUUUCUCCAGCCUUAUGGACUCCUUCGGCGUUACCCAGCAUGUUUCUGGCCCCACACACACCAGGGGGCACACUCUGGACCUUGUUUUUACCCUGAGUCUAAAUGCUGACAGUGUUUGUCCUGAGGACGUUUAUAUUUCAGAUCACCAUUGCGAUUUCUUUAACUUGUCAGUUUCUGCGUCUCCACCUCCUGCUCGCCGUAUGGUUAGUUCUCGUUUUCUUAAUGAGAGCACAGCUAGCAAUUUUUCUGCUGCUUUUGAUCCACCCUGUUCUUCUGAUAAUGACCCAGAUUCCUUAACUUCUCAGUUUAACGAGCACUGCCUCUCCAUUCUGGACAACAUCUGUCCUGUCAGAACCAGAUCAGUUCCUGCAGUGAACCCUACUCGCUGGUUUAAUGACAGCCUUCGCAGCCUAAAGCGCCAAUGCAGAAAAAAUGAGUGCUUGUGGAAGAAAACCCAUCGACUCUGCGACGAUAGGGCAGGGUGCAAUUCCCAGGAAGAGUAA
rnacentral:lncRNA from 1 species